ACGCUCGACACCUACGGGGGGCAGCAGUCGGGAAUAUUGCGCAAUGGAGGGAACUCUGACGCAGUGACGCCGCGUAUAGGAAGAAGGUUUUCGGAUUGUAAACUAUUUUAGACAGGGAAGAAUAAAGACAGUACCUGUAGAAUAAGCUCCGGCUAACUACGUGCCUGCAGCCGCGGUAAUCUGAGCGGGCUGGCAAGGC
rnacentral:rRNA from 1 species